rnacentral:rRNA from 1 species
UGUCGUCAGCUCGUGUCGUGAGAUGUUGGGUUAAGUCCCGCAACGAGCGCAACCCUUGAUCUUAGUUGCCAUCAUUAAGUUGGGCACUCUAAGGUGACUGCCGGUGACAAACCGGAGGAAGGUGGGGAUGACGUCAAAUCAUCAUGCCCCUUAUGACCUGGGCUACACACGUGCUACAAUGGACGGUACAAAGAGCUGCAAGACCGCGAGGUGGAGCUAAUCUCAUAAAACCGUUCUCAGUUCGGAUUGUAGGCUGCAACUCGCCUACAUGAAGCUGGAAUCGCUAGUAAUCGCGGAUCAGCAUGCCGCGGUGAAUACGUUCCCGGG